AUUCCUUCUGCUAAAAUACAAUAUCAUUGAGGAACAUUUUUCCUGUUAUUCUUCAUUCUAUUUGCGUUUACGUUUCUUUUUAUCUGGCCCUGUGGAAUUAAUGAAGUAGACACGAGUAACCAGUUGAUCAUUCAGUUGACUCAAACCAUAAACCCAACAUGGAAAUCUAAGUUGUUUCAAAGUUUACCACCCCAGGAGAAAGUAAUUAAGUCUAAACACAUUCCAAAGUGUUUAUUGAGAAGCAAGCAAUUGCUAAAUCCAUAUGAAUAAUCGGUUGGAGUCCAUUAUUGCUGUCAAAUAUCUGCCAUGUUGGCGCCAUGGCGGAUUGCAGUGUUUUUUUUUUGACAAUUGUCAUGGCCAAUUUGUGAAGAACGGUGGUGCCAUGACCUUUUAUGGUGUACUUUUGGCUUUCUGCCAUGGUCUUCCAUCCAUUUGCCAUCGAUAACACUGGAGCCCAUUGAACAUGAAAACAAACACACGUUCAGCAGCAUAAUUAUUUCUAAAGAUUAUGGUUUCAUAUAAGAUGGGAGAAUCAAAUAUCUGUUGUAUAUUGGUAAAACAAAUUCAGUGUUUGUUUGCCUCUCAGUUGGCUGUGAUGUUAUUUAAUGAUAAAUUUGAUUGGGUACAACAAAUUGUGGCAUGGUCCAACCCUAGUUGGUGUCGGCUGUUGUAAUGUAAAACCUUAACUACUUAAAUGGUUCAUGCAUUUUCAAAUUUUGCUUGCUGCUUUUAGCUGUAUUCAAUGUUGUGUCUGCAAAGACAGUAGUAAUAAACACUAGACAUGCAAUGUGAUUACCAAAUAGGCGUGUUGAUGUUUUUUUUCUUUCAACUCUUUUGGUUGCUGCAGAGUUGAGUAUCUUGUCCUUGAUGAGUCUGAUAAGCUAUUUGAGCCUGGAAUGUUCAAGCAGAUUGAUGCUAUUAUCAAAGCAUGCACAAAUCCCUCAAUAGUACGCUCUCUAUUCAGUGCUACUUUACCUGAUUUUAUUGAAGAUAAAGCUCGAGAACUUAUGCAUGAUGCUGUUCGCGUAAUCGUUGGCAGGAAGUAAGUUCAAUAAAAAAUUUACAAUAGAACAUUAUGCUCAUGUGCAUUACUUUAACUCUUCACCCUAUUGUAAAAGAUAACAUCUAAUACUUUUAUGGGAAUCAGGAAUAUGGCUUCUGAAACAAUUAAGCAGAGGUUGGUUUUUACUGGAAGUGAAGAAGGAAAACUUAUAGCAAUUCGGCAGAGUUUUGCAGAGGUAUGAAACUAAAAUGAAUGCUUUAGAUAAAAGGCAUUAUUAGUCAGUUUGUUUUUCUUCUGCUUCAAUAUGUUUUGUCUCACAGGUCACAACUUAACCUUGGUCAGUGUGGGUCUUAUUGAAAAGUAAUUAGAAACCUCAUUACAAUUUAUCGUUAAUAUGUAUUUCCUGUUGUUAAUCUGCCUAGUUAAGAGAAACUAUUAAUAAAGAUUUUGGAGAUUAAUGAGUUGGAUAUAAAUAUGAUAUAUGAUAAAAUAUUAUGACAUUGUUUGAUCCAUGUAGCCGACUCCAAAUAGUGAGAUAAGGCUUUGUUGUUGAUUGUAUGUUGCAUGCAUAUAGUUUAAUAUUUACCUUGUUUCAGUUUGGUGUUAAAUAAUGUAUUGUGAGUGUAAAUAUGUAACGACUUGGAACACUUGUUAUUGUAACAUCUACCUUUGAAACUAGCGGAAAGAACAUAAUAUUGCAACACUUGUUUGCUCACUCCUAAUAUAUCAGUUGCUUGCAUUUGUUGACUUUGUUUUUUUUUGCUUUCCAUAUCUCGAAGAGUCUAAAUCCUCCAGUAUUGGUCUUUGUCCAAAGCAAGGAGCGAGCCAAGGAGCUGUAUGGUGAACUUGCAUUCGACAAUAUUAGAGUUGAUGUCAUCCAUUCUGAUUUGUCUCAAGAAGAGGUAGUUCUCAAUCCCUUUGAACAAAAUAAGCUUCUUGUUGGAAAGUAUGAAGGCACUCUGAAACGUUUUUCCCUUCAGCCAAAAAAUGCAAAAAGAAAAAAGAAAACCCAUGAAUUAUAUGACCAAGAUCUCUGGCCCAUACUAUUUAUAUGGUGAAGAUGUCAAAUUAUAGUAUUCCUUGUUUGUGCAAUUGCUUUUGUACUUGACUAAUCUGCUCAUCAUUACUGAACAAGACAAACCUGUUUUUAAUAUACAAUUCUGUUUAACUUUUAAUCUCUGAUCAUCAGCAAUGGGUACUCCAUUAUGAAAGCGCAUAUUUGUUAAGUUAGCUGUAGCCUGUAACUAUGAUGUGAUUUUUUUAAUCUCUUGAAUUCUAUACAGCGAGAAAACGCAGUUGACAACUUCAGAGCUUGUAAAACAUGGGUUUUGAUUGCCACUGAUGUGGUUGCUCGAGGAAUGGAUUUCAAAGGCAUUAACUGCGUGAUCAAUUAUGAUUUCCCAGAUUCUGCAUCGGCAUAUAUCCACAGAAUUGGUUAGUGUCACGACAUGAACAUUUUUUUUUUAAUAUUUAAGAAGUGUUUAGAGGGGCUGUGAUUUGUAAUAUUCACUCACUGAGCCUUUUCUUUAUUAUAUAUUCUUUGAUACAUCAAUUUUUAAUAAUGAUUUGAAUCUACUUUUUGCUAAAUAUAAAUGUUGAUAUUUCAAUAGGUCGAUCUGGUAGAGCAGGGAGGAGUGGCGAAGCAAUUACAUUUUACACAGAAGAGGAUAUUCCAUUCUUGAAGAACGUAGCUAAUCUAAUGGCAUCCUCAGGCUGUGAAGUUCCAUCCUGGUUGACGGAGUUGCAGAAAAAGAAGUGGAGGAAGCACCGACCCAAAAGAGAUUCUAUCUCAACUAAACCUGACAAAGUUGCAAAAAAACAAGUGACAGAAAAAGCAGUGGAGGAAGCACCGGCCGAAAAAGAUUCUAUCUAGACUAAACCAGAUCUUUAAGUCUAUUACAACAACAAAUUGGAACAAGUUUUUGACCUGUGAAAUUUCUUGAAGUGUUUAUUUCUUGAAAGACCAUGCAACAGUGUUAAUUUAUAAUCCUCCCUCUCCAAAAAUGAUGAAAAGGGGGUGACUGGAUGGUGUGCGGGGAAUGUUGUCUAAUGCUUAUAUAAGUUCCAACCAUGAUAUAAUCAUAUACAUUACCUUAGUGCCAGUUGCAACACCCAUAAAUGGGAAUUUUUGGGCCUUCCUUUGUACUGAACAAGCAAUUUUGUUGAUCCUAAAAUGUCUGAUUUGAUAUACGUUGAAACAACAUUUCAUUCAAUAGAUUUUUAUUGUGUGAUGGCUUUCUACACAGUAUGUUAGUAAUUCUUCCAAUGCCAAGGCAUGCACAUAAUACAUGCAAUUCUGUAGUAUAUGUCAAUUAUUUAAACAUUUUAUGUGGGCUAAGUCUCUUAACAUAAUUUAAGGAUUUAAUUUGUUCCAUUAUUUAAUAAGAGUAAAAAGUUUUACAUUGUCGAUUCAUCACCAUCAUCCGUUUGUAUUAUUUUGUAGGUUUUUAAGAUAAAAGUCAAAUUUGGUUCAAUAUCCAACGUCUAUAAUUAAUUGAUGGUGUAAAAUUCUUUUAUACUGUCAGUGUAUUUCAAUUAAAUUCAUUUAAUAAAUGUUAUUUUUUAAUCAUUUAAAAACUAUUUCAUGACUUAUGUGAAUGACAUUAUCUCAACAUGAAAGAAGUGGAGGAAAAAAUAGUGUUCGUAAAUGUUUUUUUUUUGUAGAUUAGCGAAAACCUUUGUAUCUUUUUAGAAUAACUUCAAAAUCAUAUCCUUUUAGAUUAAUCAAUAGUGAAUCGAGAUUUUGAUUUUGAUAUGACUUGGAGUCCUUGUUGGUUUUUUAUUUCUUUAUUCGGUGAUCUAUGAUCUAUUGAUGGUGGGUGUAUUAACUUAAGAUCUAACUUGCUACUUUUUAGUUUGGAGCUCGAAUAAACAGUUUUUCCUUUGGUUCUGUCAUGUCUUAAUGUUUCAUUAGUUUUUCUUCACCUGUUUGUAUUAUAUAUUAAUAUAUAUAUAUAAUAUAUAUAUAUAUAUAUAUAUAUAUAUAUAUAUAUAUAUAUAUAUAUAUAUAUAUAUAUAUAUAUAUAUAUAUAUAUAUAUAUAUAUAUAUAUAUAUUAUAUAUAUAUAUAUAUAUAUAUAUCAAUAUUAUUUUAUUCGGCUUAUGGUACAGCUUGUGCUAUUUGAUUUUCUUUUAUAUUUUGUGUUGAGUAUGACUUAUCAUGUAGAAACUCUAAACAGGUCUUUGGACCACCUGUUUGUUGGGGUAACUUAGGAUUAAAGUUUAGGUUUAGGGGUAUUUCACUUGUAACACUGUAACCCUUAAUUCAUAAGACAAAAGUCAAUGAUAGAAUGUGAUGAAAGUAUUGAUCGAAAUUGCGUUAAAAAAGAUCAAUCAUGUUCAUUGUCUUUUACAUUCGUUUCUCUUUAAUCCUCUAUGUUGGUUGUUGUUCUAAUAGUUGGUAACUCUAGUGUGAAAUUCGAGGUAACAAGGUUUGACGAGACAAAUAAUUUUGGAUUAUGGCAAAUGAGGGUUAAGGAUCAAUUGACUCAUCAAAGUUUAUAGAAAGUGUUGCAUGAGACAAAAUCGAACGACAUGGAGGAUACCGACUGGAUAGAGAUGAAAAACAAGGUUGCGAGAUUGAUUCACAUAUGUGUUUCAGAUGAGGUGAUGUAACAUAUCCUGGAGCUGACGACGCUGGAGGAGGUUUAAGACAAACUGGAAAGUUAGUAUAUGAAAAAGACGUUGACGAACAAAUUACUCCCUAAACAUCGACUAUACAGUCCGAAGAUGCAAGAAGAACCUGAUUUGCAACAACAUGGCAAUGCCUUCAAUAACAUAAUCACCGAUUUGGUGAGGCUUUGGAUGAAAAUUAAUGAAGAUGAUAAGGCAAUUAUCUUUCUCUGCUCGUUACUAGGUUCUUAUAACCACUUGGUGACCUAUGGAAAAGAAAAUAUAAGUCUUGGUGUGAUUACUGCUAUUUUUUUUGUCUCAUUCUCAAAAGAGACAAAGUGUAGAUGAAUGAACUUAAGGCGGAGAUUUGUAUGUGAAAGGGAGUC
rnacentral:lncRNA from 1 species